GGAGCCUCCGGUCCUGCCCGGCUUCUCGGGGGGCCUGCAGUCCAGGGGGACCCUGGCCGAUGAGUCUGGGGAGGGCGAGCUCCAGCGACCACGGCUCCCCCACGUGGCUGGACCAGGAGCAGCCGGGCGACCGCCUGGCCUCCUGAUUCCCCGGCCCCAGGGGCCCUGUGCCCUCCCCCCCGCCUGGCUGGUUCAGUGCUCUGCGCCCCCUCAGGUGGCUCUGCCUGUGCCGAUCACAGGUGGGCACCUAACCUCGCUGUCUUCCCGAGUUUUCCAUUUGUCUCGUUAGAAUCAGAAAACUUAACUUUUGGGAUAAAAGGAAAACUAAAGUUAUAUUUAAAAAAACCCACACGACCGAAACUGGGGAGUCUUUGGGGAUAUGUCGGCACCUCCUCUUCGCCCCUCGGCGGGUGCGGUGUCCCUGGACGGGAGGGUCCUAGAGCACUCGGGGCAACUGUUCCAUCCUGAUGGCCUCUGGGUGUGCCCGGGGGGCUGGGCAGGCCCCGGAAGUCCUGCGUGCCCUGCCGGAGCGGCCACCCGCGUUUCCUGCUGGCUCGUAAGAACCCGCCAGCCCUGAGGCUCUGUGGCUGUAACCUGCUUUUCUGUCAGCCGGGCCCCGGGGAGCCGCAGCCUGCCCUACUUAAUAAGUCUGCGCCUGGGCCACCGGGAGCCAGCCCUGAAUGUCAGGAACCUCAGGGGAAGGUGAAGGACCUUUCAGAGCAGGAAAUGUGACCGGGCGGCUGAUCGAUGUCCUUACCUGGUCUUUGUCCGCGAGGCUCCGCUUGGGGCCAGCUCUGCAGAGCUGCCACUCUGCCGAGUGUAUGGCCUGGCUGGAGGACAUCCCUCCCUAGGGGCUUCCGCCCUUGGCCACCUCCAGUGACUGCGCCCCCGUGGGCCUGAGCCGACCUUGCCUCUGAAACAGGGAGAGUGCCCCCUUCGGACGUGGCGCCCGUGUUCCCUGGGGAGGGCCGAGGGGCCACCCCGGCCAUGUCCCCCCUGCUUGAGGUUGAAUUUUGUCUCUCAGACUGAGCGCUUCCCUGAUGGUGCAGCCGAACGGGCCCUCUGGACAGCGGACAACUGGAGGCCUUAGCGACAGCCUCCCUAAUUACCGAAAAUCCAGCUCAGCGUCACAUGGCCCCUGCCCUGCCCCCACCUCGGCCAGGGGCUACCCCCACCCUUCCCAAAGAGAAUUCUGGGAGCCUGGGAGCAGGUGGUCUUCCUCCGCAUCCCCCUCAGGUUCUGCGAGGUUUUGUCAUGUAGGUGGGGUGCUAGCCGAGGUGACACCACUGCCAACCAACAGGCUGGACACCACCCUCAGCCCAUCUCCACCAACGUCCAGUUGCCCGAGAUCCUGGGAUGUACUGACCAUUCGACUGGUGGGCAAGCAAGGGAGUGCAUCAAGUCCCUCGACGCAGGCUCUGUGGGUGUUUCCAGGAGGGUGGGUCCCGGCUCGGACCACCAGGGGCCCCUCUAGGUGGGGAGAUGCAAAUCGGCAUGCUGGGGUCUCUCAUGGGCAGCUGGCCUCCCAGCAGACCCGCCCGAGCGCGGGCUCUCUGCGGGAGUCUGGCACGGGACACGCACGAUUCUUGGCUGAGGGAGGACCCCCACAGCUGGUGGUCUCUGGCCCUCAUGGAAGUCCUGGGCUCAGCCUUGCUGGCAGCCAGGGCGUGUGUACAACCCAGACCUUGGCCAGCAGACUCUCCCUGGCUCUGGGUGUUGACUCCUGACCGAGUCACAAGGUGAAGGGACAGGUGGAGUCCUUGCGGCGUGGCUGCCCAGGCGUCCUGGCCAGGCUGUGCCUGCUAAAAGGUGAGCGAUGCUUUCCCUGCCUCUCGCCUCCCCAGGAGUCCCCGUUCCCGGCCACCCACGGAGAUCUCAUUACCCUUCCAGCCUUAUUCUGUGUGACAACAAGAGCGGUGGCUUUCUGUCACCAGACAGACUUGGCUCA